GGCUCAGAACGAACGCUGGCGGCAGGCUUAACACAUGCAAGUCGAACGCCCCGCAAGGGGAGUGGCAGACGGGUGAGUAACGCGUGGGAACAUACCCUUUCCUGCGGAAUAGCUCCGGGAAACUGGAAUUAAUACCGCAUACGCCCUACGGGGGAAAGAUUUAUCGGGGAAGGAUUGGCCCGCGUUGGAUUAGCUAGUUGGUGGGGUAAAGGCCUACCAAGGCGACGAUCCAUAGCUGGUCUGAGAGGAUGAUCAGCCACAUUGGGACUGAGACACGGCCCAAACUCCUACGGGAGGCAGCAGUGGGGAAUAUUGGACAAUGGGCGCAAGCCUGAUCCAGCCAUGCCGCGUGAGUGAUGAAGGCCUUAGGGUUGUAAAGCUCUUUCACCGGAGAAGAUAAUGACGGU
rnacentral:rRNA from 1 species